rnacentral:lncRNA from 1 species
CGGGGAUGUUUCCAUAACCGGCACUUGGCGAAAUUGCGGAUUUGUUUACAUCGGAAGUGAGCGUACGUGCGCCAGAAUAUGGUAACCCUGAUAAUUGUUGCAACCCACACAGGGAAUUUUCCUGAAGGAGGAAAAGGGAAAUUUUCUGUUUACUUUUCGAACAUUACGGUAAGAGAAAAUAAAGUUUGAAAGUCGCAAAUCAUUAUUAGUUCAUAUUUUCGCAAAACGUUUAUGGGGUUUAUUUUUCGAACAUUACGGUUGAACUGCCCUUCAAUGAAAGCUUUUGCUCGAUGUGUGGCCUGUAAUAGCAAUAAAUGGGACUUUUGUGAACUGAAAUCUGUUAGGCUUUCCAAAAUCCAGAAAGCUGAUUAGGUGUGCAGAAGCAGCAGACUUGUAAAUGUGAAGGAGCUAUUUGCUUAGUUAUGCAGUAGAAUUCACCACCCUGCGGCAAGCUUCAUUAAAGCUGUGAACAGCCAAGCUAACCAUCUUCAGGGCAAGUAGCUGCAUCAAGCAAACCCAGUGACAUUCCAAAGAGGAAUGUCAGUCAAAAUAAAAACUUAAUACCUAAAUCUCGGAAAAUCAGACAAUUAAGCCACAAAUCUUGUGACCAAUUUUUCAGUUGCUGUGCUUAGUGCGAUAAAGUUAUAUGGCAAUAAACUGAAAAGCUAUGGCAGGUAUUCUAUUGUACCCUUUAAUGAAAUCAAUUUAAAGCAAGCUUAUCAUAUGAUAAGCAAAAUGAUUGUAUCAUUGGAUGGUAAUGAUUGCAUUGCUGGGUAUGCAGGCUAUGGUUCUACAAUGAGCCAAAUGUAAUAUCUCAGUAUGCUGUGACUAUUAAAAUUAUAAAUUAUGUAUUAUUACUUCAUAUUGGUCAUUAUGUUCCAAAAUAAAUGCUCUUUUUAUAUAGAACUAUAUAAAUGUAGAAAAUCUGAGAAGUUAAUUUUAUAUGGAAAGCCUUCGUGCAAAAUUAAUAGCAUCUUGUUAAUUUCAUAUAUGUUUUGUGAAAGUAAUUGCUGCUGAAUCUAGAAUUAAUGCAUUAUCUGAGAUUUGAGACAAAAUUUGUCAAAUUAGAAGAUAGUGAAAUAGAUAAAUAGGAAAUGAAACAUGAAAUUUAUAUAUUUAAUAUUGAAAUAAAUAUCUCAGUAAAGUGGCUGUAUGUAAAGUAUAAUGAUGCAAUUUUUAUAAUUUUUUACUAAAAUGCUAAAAUUAUGUGCUAUGAAAAUUUUAUUUUCAUUAAUAUUUA